rnacentral:rRNA from 1 species
AUACGGAGGAUCCGAGCGUUAUCCGGAUUUAUUGGGUUUAAAGGGAGCGUAGGCGGACGCUUAAGUCAGUUGUGAAAGUUUGCGGCUCAACCGUAAAAUUGCAGUUGAUACUGGGUGUCUUGAGUACAGUAGAGGCAGGUGGAAUUCGUGGUGUAGCGGUGGAAUGCUUAGAUAUCACGAAGAACUCCGGUUGCGAAGGCAGCCUGCUGGACUGUAACUGACGCUGAUGCUCGAAAGUGUGGGUAUCAAACAGGAUUAGAUACCCUGGUAGUCCACACAGUAAACGAUGAAUACUCGCUGUUUGCGAUAUACAGUAAGCGGCCAAGCGAAAGCGUUAAGUAUUCCACCUGGGGAGUACGCCGGCAACGGUGAAACUCAAAUGAAUUGGCGGGG